CCUACGGGAGGCAGCAGUGGGGAAUAUUGGGCAAUGGAGGAAACUCUGACCCAGCGACGCCGCGUGCGGGAUGAAGGCCUUCGGGUUGUAAACCGCUUUCAGUAGGGAAGAAGCGAAAGUGACGGUACCUACAGAAGAAGCACCGGCUAACUAUGUGCCAGCAGCCGCGGUAAUACAUAGGGUGCAAGCGUUGUCCGGAAUUAUUGGGCGUAAAGAGCUCGUAGGUGGUUCGUCACGUCGGAUGUGAAAAUCUGGGGCUCAACCCCAGACCUGCAUUCGAUACGGGCGAUCUAGAGUGUGGUAGGGGAGACUGGAAUUCCUGGUGUAGCGGUGGAAUGCGCAGAUAUCAGGAGGAACACCAAUGGCGAAGGCAGGUCUCUGGGCCAUUACUGACACUGAGGAGCGAAAGCGUGGGGAGCGAACAGGAUUAGAUACCCUGGUAGUCCACGCCGUAAACGGUGGGCACUAGUUGUGGGAACCUUCCACGGUUUCUGCGACGCAGCUAACGCAUUAAGUGCCCCGCCUGGGGAGUACGAUCGCAAGAUUGAAACUUAAAGGAAUUGACGG
rnacentral:rRNA from 1 species